GUCACAGACCCCUCAUUUCAGGGUCUGUCAUCGAAUUCAGAGUAGUUCAUGAGGCUGCUGUGGACCAGAGUGACCCAGCAUAAUCCCUAUCCAGAAUUUUAAGACAAAUACAAUGCUACCAAAUCCACUUUUAUUUUGUAUUUCUGUGUGUGUGUGUAUGUGUGUGUGCACGUGUGUGUGUGUGUGUGUGUGUUUUGGUUAAAAAAAAUCUGCAAGAGAGGAAGAAAAAUACACAUCCAUCCGUGGCGUAUAUUCAGCUGUGAUCAUGAAAAUACUGAGUUAUUGUCCGAAAUCGUGUAAAGCAAGAACCUGCAUUAAGAAAGCAUAGCUAAGCAAACAGGCCCGGGACCCAUAUCUGCUGACAUACCGUGCUAUCCUGAGACUGCCGCAGAACAUUUGCAAAGCCGUGUUCUCUAAGAAUUCUGCACAGUGCAAACAGGCAUGAGGGGAAAAAAUACUACUAGGGAACUUCUAGUUCUUGCUGAAAAGGAAAAUUUUGAGCUCUAAAUCUAGCACUACCAAGCAAGAGAGGCAUCUGUGGCUGCAUAUAAAGCUGGUACUCCUUUGCUUGAACAAAAUCCCUCAGUAUACAGUACUUAAAAUAAACAAAGCUCAAAACAGUCAGCUACACACGCAUGUUUUUUGGCCACAUGCUGCCUGAAGAAAAUAGCUAUGCAGUGUGCAUGCCCUAGUUUAAACCAAGCCUGAAUACCGCACAGUCUCAUUCCUCUCCCGGUCUCCUUUUCUAGACAGAAAUACAUUUCCCUUUAAUGUACAAGUGAGAAAAAAAUAUGUUUAAAAGACAGUCCAGGCCCUUGAUAAAAGCACUUACUUUGAAAGAACAGGACAGACUACGUAUUCAAAACAAGAGCGCCUUCUUAAAGUGCAGGCUCAGAAGUUGUUCAAUGGCCAGGACCUUGAUUUGUGCUGGCGGCUCUGGUCCUGCUGGGCAUGGUUAAGGGCGAGGCUCGCAGCCCGCACGGCGUGGUCCUUCAGGGGUGCUGCGUCAGGCUGACGCUCCGGAACAGUUACUGGGACAGGCUGUGAGCGACUCACCAGGACAGUUUUAUUUCUGUGCUGAGCUUGCUGCUUCCUGCUGGGAAAAUGUUAGUGGCGGAGUCACACCCAGUUUACUAAUUGUUUAACUGCAAAGCUUGACUCUGGAAAUAAAAAAGGAAUGAGAGCAGAAGUGGAGACUUCAUAAAGAAAGUGAAUGGGGAUCCAAAAGGAUCCAGCUCCAGCUCCUGGAAGCUUACCCCACCCCACCAAAGAGAACCUGGAUGGAACCCUCUUUCAUCAGGAAUAAACUGGAGCCCAAGGAAAUGAAGGAAUCAGAUGGGGACCAAGUGACCUGUCCACACAAAAGCCAUCUGAUGAGUGCUUCUACUCCCUGUUCGCAGCCCACCUUCAGCUACACAGAUCUGCACGGCCCCUUGCUUCUGCCAUAUGGGAUCCAGCCUGACAGCAGCGAAUGAGUGCACAGAUUUCAAGUAGAGGAAAUCCCCAGGAAAUGGUAAGGGACAGUAUUAGGAAUUGACAAAGUACUACUUUAAAAUAACCUUAGAUGAGACGAUUCUUCCUUCAAAGGCACAACUGGUUUACA
rnacentral:lncRNA from 1 species